rnacentral:rRNA from 1 species
UACAGAGGUCUCAAGCGUUGUUCGGAUUCAUUGGGCGUAAAGGGUGCGUAGGUGGCGCCGUAAGUCAGGUGUGAAAUUUCGGAGCUUAACUCCGAAACUGCAUUUGAUACUGCGGUGCUUGAGGACUGGAGAGGAGACUGGAAUUCACGGUGUAGCAGUGAAAUGCGUAGAUAUCGUGAGGAAGACCAGUGGCGAAGGCGGGUCUCUGGACAGUUCCUGACACUGAGGCACGAAGGCCAGGGGGAGCAAAACGGG